rnacentral:rRNA from 1 species
ACCCUGCUUCCAGGAAAAGCCACUAAGCUUCAGCUACACACGACCGUACCGCAAACCGACACUGGUGCGCGAGAUGAGUAUUCUAAGGCGCUUGAGAGAACUCAGGAGAAGGAACUCGGCAAAUUGACACCGUAACUUCGGAAGAAGGUGUGCCUUUAGUAGGUGAACCAUUUACUUGGGGAGCCCAAUGAGGUUGCAAAAAAUCGGUGGCUGCGACUGUUUAUUAAAAACACAGCACUCUGCAAACACGAAAGUGGACGUAUAGGGUGUGACGCCUGCCCGGUGCUGGAAGAUUAAAUGAUGGGGUGCAAGCUCUUGAUUGAAGUCCCAGUAAACGGCGGCCGUAACAAUAACGGUCCUAAGGUAGCGAAAUUCCUUGUCGGGUAAGUUCCGACCUGCACGAAUGGCGUAACGAUGGCCACACUGUCUCCUCCUGAGACUCAGCGAAGUUGAAAUGUUUGUGAUGAUGCAAUCUCCCCGCGGAAAGACGGAAAGACCCCAUGAACCUUUACUGUAGCUUUGUAUUGGACUUUGAACAGAUCUGUGUAGGAUAGGUGGGAGGCUUUGAAGCGGUGCCGCUAGGUAUCGUGGAGCCAACGUUGAAAUACCACCCUGGUGUGUUUGAGGUUCUAACCUAGGUCCCUUAUCGGGAUCGGGGACAGUGCAUGGUAGGCAGUUUGACUGGGGCGGUCUCCUCCCAAAGCGUAACGGAGGAGUUCGAAGGUACGCUAGUUACGGUCGGACAUCGUGACGAUAGUGCAAUGGCAUAAGCGUGCUUAACUGCGAGACUGACAAGUCGAGCAGAUGCGAAAGCAGGACAUAGUGAUCCGGUGGUUCUGUAUGGAAGGGCCAUCGCUCAACGGAUAAAAGGUACUCUGGGGAUAACAGGCUGAUACCGCCCAAGAGUUCAUAUCGACGGCGGUGUUUGGCACCUCGAUGUCGGCUCAUCUCAUCCUGGGGCUGCAGCCGGUCCCAAGGGUAUGGCUGUUCGCCAUUUAAAGAGGUACGUGAGCUGGGUUUAAAACGUCGUGAGACAGUUUGGUCCCUAUCUUCCGUGGGCGCUGCAGAUUUGAGGAAGCCUGCUCCUAGUACGAGAGGACCGGAGUGGACACACCUCUGGUGUAUCGGUUGUCACGCCAGUGGCAUUGCCGAGUAGCUAUGUGUGGAAGAGAUAACCGCUGAAAGCAUCUAAGCGGGAAACUCGUUUCAAGAUGAGAUCUGCCGGGGCCUUGAGCCCUCUAAAGAGUCGUUCAAGACCAGGACGUUGAUAGGCAGGGUGUGGAAGCGCAGUAAUGCGUUAAGCUAACCUGUACUAAUUGCUCGUGCGGCUUGACCC